rnacentral:rRNA from 1 species
UACGGAGGGUGCAAGCGUUAUCCGGAAUCACUGGGUUUAAAGGGUGCGUAGGCGGCUAAAUAAGUCAGAGGUGAAAGCUUGCAGCUUAACUGCGAAAUUGCCUUUGAUACUGUAUAGCUUGAAAGGAGCUGAGGUCAGCAGAAUGUGGCAUGUAGCGGUGAAAUGCAUAGAGAUGCCAGAGAAUACCAAUUGCGAAGGCAGCUGGCUGGGCUUACUUUGACGAUGAGGCACGAAAGAGUGGGGAUCGAACAGG